GGAUGUGAGGGCGAUCUGACUGUGAUAUCUGUCACCCCAUUGAUCGCCAGGGUUGAUUCAGCUGAUCUAGCUGGCUAGGCGCCUGGGUGUCCCCUUCCUCCUUCACCGCUCCGUGUGCGUCCCUCCCAAAGCUGCGUGCUCAGUGAAAGAGGACAGCCUUCCCCGAAUAGAGACGGACCAGUCUUGGGUCUAGGGUAUACGAGUAGCUGCACUCCUCUGCUAGAACCGUCAAACAAGCUCUCAAGAAUCAAAUUUCUCUGUCAGUAAUUAGAGUUACAAUAAUUGGAAAUACAUGUUUUUCAUAGAUUCUCCUGCUGCAAAA
ensembl:misc_RNA 7SK 7SK RNA